GACGAACGCUGGCGGCAUGCCUAACACAUGCAAGUCGAACGGAGAAAUACUUGUAGCAAUAUGAGGAUUUUUUAGUGGCGAACGGGUGAGUAACGCGUGAGCAAUCUGCCUUUCAGUGGGGGACAACAGUUGGAAACGACUGCUAAUACCGCAUAACGUAUUUGGGGGACAUCCCCUAGAUACCAAAGAUUUAUCGCUGAAAGAUGAGCUCGCGUCUGAUUAGCUAGUUGGUAGGGUAACGGCCUACCAAGGCUUCGAUCAGUAGCCGGACUGAGAGGUUGAACGGCCACAUUGGGACUGAGAUACGGCCCAGACUCCUACGGGAGGCAG
rnacentral:rRNA from 1 species